rnacentral:misc_RNA from 1 species
GAUGAAGAACGCAGCGAAAUGCGAUACGUAAUGUGAAUUGCAGAAUUCAGUGAAUCAUCGAGUCUUUGAACGCACAUUGCGCCCCCUGGUAUUCCGGGGGGCAUGCCUGUCCGAGCGUCAUUGCUGCCCUCAAGCACGGCUUGUGUGUUGGGCCUCCGUCCUCCUCCCGGGGGACGGGCCCGAAAGGCAGAGGCGGCACCGCGUCCGGUCCUCGAGCGUAUGGGGCUUCGUCACCCGCUCUUGUAGGCCCGGCCGGCGCUUGCCGACACAUCAAUCUUUUUUCCAGGUUGACCUCGGAUCAGGUAGGGAUACCCGCUGAACUUAAGCAUAUCAAUAAGCGGAGGA